rnacentral:lncRNA from 1 species
ACCAGCUUCAGUCAAAGGGAUGACUUCAGUCCCUUUCUUAACUAAUCCUGUCACUGUAAAAUCCUACAGUCAUUCUCCAACAUAAAGGGAAAACGGACUCACUAGGAGGACCUAGACUCUUUCAGCUUGAACUGUUAACCAAUGGUGGAAAUGCAAGAAUGCUGAAGUUGUGCCUUCAGAGCCAAUAGAGUGGAUUCGUGUGUCCCACAUGACUGUGUUUCCCCUGUCUUUCACAUGGGCAGUAUUUAGUUCAAUUCAGAACUGCAGAUAGUAUAGCGUGCAGAGCAGCAAUGGGAUGUCUGAGCACAAGUAGCUGACUUCCAGGCGACUUCAGGAAGCUCAUUUGUACAUUUCUCCUGAAUUAUCUGGGAUUCUGCACCUUUGACAUUCUCCAACCCUCCUUGUCGCUGCAGGAGGAGACAGCGACCUGCACAGCACAACAAAAUUACAAAUCACCAGAGAGCUACAGACCAGCAAUGAGGAGAGCUGAGGGCAAUUUGACCAACAUCAUCUGUGUCGGUUCCCCAGAAGUCGAUGAAACAUGUAAUCGGGUCUCCAAGACCACAAGACUCAGAAGAUCACAGUGGAAGAAAGACGCUGGGCCAAUCCAUUCUUUUGAUAUGACACAAAAUAUAGCCCUGUUUGGUAUUCCUUCCACCCUGAAGAAGCUUCAGAUCAGGUCAGGCCAUCAGGAGGAGGAAAAGGACUGA